CCGGGCGGGCGGGCGGCCAGGCUGGCCUAGGCCAAAGCUCCUCACCUGGCGGUGGCGGUGGAACUCCCGGCUAGCUCGCCUCCUCAGGCGGCGGCGGAGGCGUCGAAAAAGGAAGAGGCGACGGCACAGAGACGGGAUGCCGGAACUACACCCCACCCUUGAAGAGUGAGUGGCUGGAGAAGUGAUGAUUGGCCUCCUUUAGAACACUGGAAAAGCAUCCCACCAUGCUUGAGACAGGAUGGGAAAGGGUCCUCUGGCUGAAGGUCCCAGAAUUCAGAAGUAGUACUUUUCUCUUCAUCCACUGAUCUCUACCCCCAGGAAUUUGCACUAAAGGCUCAUGAAAGAAAGGGAGAACUACCAGUGGGCCAGAGGGACUAGAAAAAUGAUGCUCCCUUCCUGAUGCCCACAUGCAGCGAGCCCUUAAUCCUUGUCCCUAUCUUCCUGGCGCUAUCCCCAGGCUGAGACCGUGGUUGGAAGAGUAUUGCCUGCAGUUAGAGCAACUAAGAAGGCCUAGGAUGACUGCCAGGGCUCCCAGGAUGCAUGAGGUCUGCCGACACCAGCUACUAGGGAGAGGGUAUCAUCCGCGUGGAGAGGACUGAAAGACACAGAGCCAGGAGAUGAGGAUGGAAGCACACAGGAAGCAGGAUCACAUGGAGAACACCCAAUGCCAACCACCAGGCCAGCCCCAGCUCUCCAUGCCUCUCCCUGCCUGCGCCUGGCUACUCCAUCCCAAGCCAUGUCACCAGUCCCUACCCACCUGUCUGGGAGCUGCCUGUCUUUUG